UGGGGAAUAUUGGACAAUGGGCGCAAGCCUGAUCCAGCCAUGCCGCGUGUGUGAAGAAGGCCUUUUGGUUGUAAAGCACUUUAAGCGAGGAGGAGGCUACUUGGAUUAAUACUCUAGGAUAGUGGACGUUACUCGCAGAAUAAGCACCGGCUAACUCUGUGCCAGCAGCCGCGGUAAUACAGAGGGUGCGAGCGUUAAUCGGAUUUACUGGGCGUAAAGCGUGCGUAGGCGGCUUCUUAAGUCGGAUGUGAAAUCCCUGAGCUUAACUUAGGAAUUGCAUUCGAUACUGUGAAGCUAGAGUAUGGGAGAGGAUGGUAGAAUUCCAGGUGUAGCGGUGAAAUGCGUAGAGAUCUGGAGGAAUACCGAUGGCGAAGGCAGCCAUCUGGCCUAAUACUGACGCUGAGGUACGAAAGCAUGGGGAGCAAACAGG
rnacentral:rRNA from 1 species